CCCUAGUUAGCUCAGUUGCUAAUGUGCUCCACUGGAAAUGGGGAUGUCCCGGGUUCGAUACCCGGAUCAGGCG
rnacentral:tRNA from 1 species